rnacentral:rRNA from 1 species
AAGGAUCAUUAAUGAAUUCACUAUGGAGUUGUUGCUGGCCUCUAGGGGCAUGUGCACGCUUCACUAGUCUUUCAACCACCUGUGAACUUUUGAUAGAUCUGUGAAGUCGUCUUUCAAGUCGUCAGACUUGGUUUGCUGGGAUUUAAACGUCUCGGUGUGACAACGCAGUCUAUUUACUUAACACACCCCAAAUGUAUGUCUACGAAUGUCAUUUAAUGGGCCUUGUGCCUAUAAACCAUAAUACAACUUUCAACAACGGAUCUCUUGGCUCUCGCAUCGAUGAAGAACGCAGCGAAAUGCGAUAAGUAAUGUGAAUUGCAGAAUUCAGUGAAUCAUCGAAUCUUUGAACGCACCUUGCGCCCCUUGGUAUUCCGAGGGGCAUGCCUGUUUGAGUGUCAUUAAAUUCUCAAACUCACUUUGGUUUUUUCCAAUUGUGAUGUUUGGAUUGUUGGAGGCUGCUGGCCUUGACAGGUCGGCUCCUCUUAAAUGCAUUAGCAGGACUUCUCAUUGCCUCUGCGCAUGAUGUGAUAAUUAUCACUCAUCAAUAGCACGCAUGAAUAGAGUCCAGCUCUCUAAUCGUCCGCAAGGACAAUUUGACAAUUUGACCUCAAAUCAGGUAGGACUACCCGCUGAACUUAA